rnacentral:rRNA from 1 species
GACGAACGCUGGCGGCGUGCUUAACACAUGCAAGUCGAACGGAAAGGCCCUGCUUUUGUGGGGUGCUCGAGUGGCGAACGGGUGAGUAACACGUGAGUAACCUGCCCUUGACUUUGGGAUAACUUCAGGAAACUGGGGCUAAUACCGGAUAGGAGCUCCUGCUGCAUGGUGGGGGUUGGAAAGUUUCGGCGGUUGGGGCUGGACUCGCGGCUUAUCAGCUUGUUGGUGGGGUAGUGGCUUACCAAGGCUUUGACGGGUAGCCGGCCUGAGAGGGUGACCGGCGACAUGGGGACUGAGAUACGGCCCAGACUCCUACGGGAGGCAGCAGUGGGGAAUAUUGCACAAUGGGCGGAAGCCUGAUGCAGCAACGCCGCGUGCGGGAUGACGGCCUUCGGGUUGUAAACCGCUUUCGCCUGUGACGAAGCGUGAGUGACGGUAAUGGGUAAAGAAGCACCGGCUAACUACGUG